rnacentral:rRNA from 1 species
GAUGAACGCUGACAGAAUGCUUAACACAUGCAAGUCAACUGUGGCGGACGGGUGAGUAACGCGUAAAGAACUUGCCUCCCAGAUAGGGACAACCUUUGGAAACGAAUGCUAAUACCUGAUCCUGUGAGAGAGCUUUGCGUCCCAUUAGCUAGUUGGAGAGGUACCGGCGCACCAAGGCGAUGAUGGGUAGCCGGCCUGAGAGGGUGAUCUGCCACAAGGGGACCGAGACACGGCCCUUACUCAUACGGGAGGCAGCAGUGGGGAAUACCGGACAAUGGACCAAAGUCCGAUCCAGCAAUUCUGGGUGAACGAUGAAGUUUUCGGAAUGUAAAGUGCUUUCAGUGGUGAAGCAGUACCAACAGAAGAAGCGACGGCUAAAUACGUGCCAGCAGCCGCGGUAAUAC